rnacentral:rRNA from 1 species
GAUUAAAGUAACAAAGGGCACACAAGGGAUGCCUAGGUAGAAAGAGCCGAAGAAGGACGUGGUAAGCUGCGAUAAGCUUGGCGAAGUUGCAAACGAACGUGGAUGCCAAGAUUUCCGAAUGGAGCAAUCUGUAAAGAGUCAUGUCUUUACACGAAAGAGGGAACCGGGUGAACUGAAACAUCUAAGUAAUCCGAGGAAAAGAAAGUAACAACGAUACCCUAAGUAGCGGCGAGCGAACGGGGUAGAGCCUAAACCGUAUUCAUGUCAAGGAUGCAGCCGUUGUGGAUAUGGGGUAGCGGGAAAGAGAGAGAAAGAACUGCAAGCUAUUUCGCAGACGUAAGCAAAGGAACAAGAAAGAUCUGGAAAGGUCUACCGUAGAAGGUGAAAGUCCUGUAUUGGUAGUUUUCUUGCGCUGUAUCUCUUCUCCCAAGUAAUGUGGAACACGAGGAAUUCUGCAUGAAUCUGCGAGGACCAAAUCUCGUAAGGCUAAAUACUCUUUCUAACCGAUAGCGCAUAGUACCGUGAGGGAAAGGUGAAAAGAACCCCGGGAGGGGAGUGAAAGAGAACCUGAAAUUGUGUGCUUACAAGCGGUCAGAGCCACUUUGGUGGUGAUGGCGUGCCUUUUGGAGAAUGAUCCUGCGAGUUACGUUUCAUGGCGAGGUUAAGAAGAACGGAGCCGAAGGGAAACCGAGUCUGAAUAGGGCGCAAGAGUCGUGGAGCGUAGACGCGAAACCCGGUGAUCUAAGCCUGUCCAGGAUGAAGCUGUGGUAAGACACAGUGGAGGUCCUAACCCACCGCCGUUGAAAAGUUGGGGGAUGAGGUAGGUUUAGGGGUGAAAAGCCAAUCGAACCGGGAGAUAGCUCGUUCUCUCCGAAAUGCAUCUAGGUGCAGCCUUGCGUGUUUAAUGAUGGGGGUAGAGCACUGACUGAACUAGGGGGCAUAUAGCUUACUGAAUUCAAUCAAACUCCGAAUACCAUUAUUCAAGAGCGCAGGAGUGAGACCAUGGGAGUUAACUUCCAUCGUCGAAAGGGAAACAACCCAGACCACCAGCUAAGGUCCCAAAUCAUAUCUAAGUGGGAAAGGAGGUGGAGAUUCUUAAACAACUAGGAGGUUGGCUUAGAAGCAGCCAUUCCUUGAAAGAGUGCGUAAUAGCUCACUAGUCGAGAGUCUCUGCGCCGACAAUGUAACGGGGCUAAGAUAUGAACCGAAGCUGUGGAUGUCGUAAGACAUGGUAGGAGAGCGUUCUGUAGGCCGUCGAAGGAGGACUGAAAGGAACUCUGGAGGUAUCAGAAGUGAGAAUGCAGGAAUAAGUAGCGAGAAGGGGAGUGAGAAUCUCCCCCGCUGGAAGACCAAGGUUUUCAGGGUAAAGCUUGUCUUCCCUGAGUAAGCCGGGACCUAAGCCCAGGCUAGAAUGCGUAGGCGAAUGGAAAACAGAUGAAUAUUUCUGUGCCAGUUCUACUUUGUGAAGGAGGGACGCAGAAGGGUAUGCGCGCAGACGAACGGAAGAGUCUGUAGAAGCAUGUAGAGUGACUUGGUAGGCAAAUCCGCCAGGUUAGACUUGAGGUGUGACAUAUACUCGCAAGAGGAAUGCGCAAAUCCCACGCUGCCGAGAAAAGCUUCUAGCGGUAAAGUAGAGACUGCCCGUACUGGAAACCGACACAGGUGGUCAGGAUGAGAAAUCUAAAGCGGACAGGCUAACUCUCGUUAAGGAACUCUGCAAAAUGGCCCCGUAACUUCGGGAGAAGGGGUGCCU